GACGAACGCUGGCGGCGUGCCUAAUACAUGCAAGUAGAACGCUGAAGGAGGAGCUUGCUUCCCUGGAUGAGUUGCGAACGGGUGAGUAACGCGUAGGUAACCUGUCUGGUAGCGGGGGAUAACUCUUGGAAACGAUAGCUAAUACCGCAUAAUAUUGACUAUUGCAUGAUAGUCAGUUGAAAGGUGCAACUGCACCACUACCAGAUGGACCUGCGUUGUAUUAGCUAGUUGGUGGGGUAACGGCUCACCAAAGCGACGAUACAUAGCCGACCUGAGAGGGGGAUCGGCCAAACUGGGACUGAGACACGGCCCAGGCUCCUACGGGAAGCAGCAGUAAGGAAUCUUCGGCAAUUGAGGGAAGGCUGAACGGGCAACGGCGCGGGAGUGAAGAAGGUUUUCGGGUCGGAAAGAUCUGUUGUAUGGGGAGAACGAGAGGGGGAGUGGAAAGCGCACGCUGUGACGGUACCUUAUCAGAAAGGGACGGCUAACUACGUG
rnacentral:rRNA from 1 species